rnacentral:lncRNA from 1 species
UCUAUCGUGAUGCAUUCUCUAGUAACAGUUGCUUAGCUACCUCACAAGUCUUUUAUUCUCUGCCCAUGGAUCAGUCCGACCAGGCCUCCAAUAGUGUGAGCUGCUCUUUUGAUUGUCCCUCCAUAUCCUCUGCCCUUCAUGCUACUAAAAACAGCGGUCCAGAUAACAUGGAGAGCAGAUUCUGAUGUCUAUGAGAGGAACUACGCUAUAUCUCAUAAAAACAGCAGUUUUAUUACUAUGUUCCCAAGUGACCUUACUUCUUCCUCCAAAUCUUCUAAAUGAUUAUUCUGUAAGUGUCAGUUGUUGCCAAGCGUAAGUCUCUCAGAAGCCAAGGGUACACACUGUGACAGGGAAGUUUCCAUCAAAGACUACUUUAAAGAAAGCACUGUUUGGGAAAGAACCAACUUCAUAAAAAUAAACAAGCAAAGCCUACUGGUUGUGCGAAGCAAGUCACCUGGAUAAUAAAGGCAAAACAAAUGAAAAUGCCAAGUUCUGUAAGCUCGUGAAUGCAAAUACUCUAAUAUGACUACCUUGAUUAAACAAUAAAUAAUGAAACAUAUCCUGACGGGUAAUUUUAUCCCAGA